rnacentral:tRNA from 1 species
ACAUUAAUUUGCGCGUUGCGCUUGAAAACCGCCGUGCGUGAGAGCGUACCGUGGGUUCGAAUCCCACCCUCACCGCCA